rnacentral:rRNA from 1 species
GUGAUCGGGUUNCUUGUUACGACUUCGUCCCAAUCGCCAGUCCCACCUUCGACAGCUCCCUCCCACAAGGGGUUGGGCCACCGGCUUCGGGUGUUACCGACUUUCGUGACGUGACGGGCGGUGUGUACAAGGCCCGGGAACGUAUUCACCGCAGCACUGCUGAUCUGCGAUUACUAGCAACUCCGACUUCAUGGGGUCGAGUUGCAGACCCCAAUCCGAACUGAGACCGGCUUUUUGAGAUUCGCUCCACCUCACGGUAUCGCAGCUCAUUGUACCGGCCAUUGUAGCACGUGUGCAGCCCAAGACAUAAGGGGCAUGAUGACUUGACGUCGUCCCCACCUUCCUCCGAGUUGACCCCGGCGGUCUCCCGUGAGUCCCCAACCUCCGAAGAGUUGCUGGCAACACGGGACAAGGGUUGCGCUCGUUGCGGGACUUAACC